rnacentral:tRNA from 1 species
GCGGCGGCGGCGUCGCGGCCGAUGCCGGUCACGCUGCUGCCGUUGCACGUCGGGCUGUUGUAGCUGACGCCGUUGAUCGUCUUGGCGCCGCUGCCC